UUGGUUUGUUCCACCGGCCACACCUGUGCUGGUGGCUGUAGCCUGCACCAUGUCUCUGCGGGGCGCGGUGGCAAGUCGAGUUGUUCCCCUGUGAGCGUCGGGAAGCGGGUGUUUCACACGCACCGCCGCGGAAGCAGCUAAUGCAGUACCUAAGGACUCCAGCUGAAAUCAAGGCCCCUUUGUCUAGGCUUGGUACAAACAUAUAGGAAGAGAGAGUCCCUGCUGAAGACACAGGGUUGUGGGGAAGGGAUAUGACCUACAACAGAGUGAACAAUUUGAUGAUCUACAAAUGUCAUUAGGUGGGGAAACUGAGGGAAAGAUUUUCAUCAAUUUGCCAGUGCUGAUGCAGGAAGUCUGUGACAGAACCGCACAUAGUACCCAGAUCUUCUGAUUCCCAUGUCUGUGUUCUGACUACUGUGUUCCCAUAUCUGUCCUCUCACAUCUAGAGCAUAUAUGCUUUUUUAAAAUAAUUUAUAUGGUCUGUGUAGAUGUUAUUUCCUUUUAGUAUUUAAAUGGGCAGCAGUUAGUGCUAACACAGACGUGAUUGAAUUAAGUGGGAAUGCAGUAAAAUUCACUAAUACCUUUAAAAUGAGGGUGGAGAAAUUUCAGGUUGCUGAUAAAGCUCUAGGGUUGCCAGGUGUCCGAGUGAGAUAACACUCCAAUCAGGCAACCUCAUUAGCUAAUAAGAACUGUACUUAUCAUCCUAUUGACACCCAGAGUGAAGUCUUUUGGCACUCAUCCUGUUCUCUGCCACAGUAACUAUCUCUAGUUCCAGGCAAGCAGGUUGCAGAUGCAUAUUCUUCCUUAGGGUCAUGUGUUUCUGACAGUCUUUAAUAGCACUGUAUUUUUGCAGUUCAAUACCUUAUCCUUUAGAUGGCAUUAGAUCCUUUAACAUGUUAGAAAAAUAACAACACUCACCAUAUUGAAGUGUGAGAUGAGGGUAAAUGAGUACAGCAGUAACUUUAGACACUUUGCUGGAAGGAAUGCAGCCAAUACUUGUUGACAGGAAACCAUAAGUAUUAAAUAAAGGCCUAGAUCCUUGGCUACAGGCAAGGAGGAGGCAGCACAAUUUGUGAGUGUAGGGUUCAGAGGAGGCAAUCCUGGACUAGGUCGGUCCUCAGGCAUUGCACCAAUUGUUAACUAUCCCAAGGAGCAAAUAGAGCAAAUAGAGCAGCUGGGGAUUGCCAGAGUACAGGGAGUACAGGGAGGCCCCACCUAUACCCCGUUUUUUCCCCCGCCAUUCUCCCUGUGUCUGCUGCAGGGAGACAUAAGAUUGAGCUGUUAUGCAGGAUCUAUGCCAUCAGAGUUUCCUUGUAUGCUAGAGUGAUGCUUCAAUAGCUGGUUAUGCCAUAGUAGGUCCAGAUCUGUUGCUGGUGUGUAAAGUGGGUACACAAGGUAGGAUCCAAGAUUAAGAUGGUAAAAAGAAGUGUAACACACAAGACACUUUCGUUGAAAAUACAGUUGUGCAUCUGCACAUGAUCUUGUACGAACCACUUCUAGAAAAUUAAAUUUUAAACUAUUUUCCCAGUAUAUGAUCUUUCUAUUUAAUUUUGGACUCAUGCAUGUUUUCUAAGCAUAGGGCUCAAGUGUUCAUUUUAUGUAAAUUGCAUCAUACAUGCAGUUGAUGGAGCACUUAAGGGAUCGUGAUGCUGUACACCUUUCUACUCUCUUGAACACAGAAUCUGUUUUAAUGAUAUGCUAUUGUACAUGCCUUAAAUGUUGGGGAAUAGGACUCCGACUAUGAUAGUUGGGAAUGUACCUGUCUUAUUCAAAGAUCUUUCAACUAUGUGCUUCAGUUUUAAGUGUUAUCCCCAUUUCACAGAUGUGGAAACUGAAGUGCCAAGAGAUGGAGUGGCAGGUCCAAUGUCACACACAAAGUCUGUGUCAGAUUUGAAUAUAGAGCCCAGGUGGUUUCCCAAUUCCUUGUCCUGUGCUUUAACUGCCAAGCUAAUUCUCCAUUUAUCAUGGGUCUUCACGUACUACUGUAGUUGUUCUGUUCAGCGGAGGAGUCCUAUGCAGUGUUAAGAAAUUCUCUCUCCUAUUUCUAGGUCCAGAUUUGGAAGACAGGCCUUUAAAAUAUUUUAAAGGUCCGAAAUGACCUAACUGUUGAAACACACACACACAAAGAAUCUAUGCAACAUUGUCAACAUUCAUUUCUUCUUUUAUCUUUGUGUCACUUUGGGAAAAUUCUGACUCCAUGUAAUCAUUGUUUUCAUUGGGAUUCAUGAAGUCAGUGAGGUUGCAUCUGCUUACACCAGUCUGAAUUUGGCCCUUUUUUUCUAAAAUGAGCCUUUCAUAAUAAAGUACAAAUGAGAAGUGUGUAUCUCUGGCUGGCUUUUGGCUCUCUAAUAUAAAACAUUGCAGUUGUGUUGGCUUUCUUUGCAGUUAAAUCUGAGUUUGACUUAGUAAGGCUGUUGAAGGAAUGUCUUGUUUUAAUGCCAUGUUUAACUCUCACUUUUUUUUUUUGGUAAUUUAUUUACUCUGGAAAAUUGAACCAGAGUUCAGCAUCUGUUUCUCAAUGACAUUUUGUGUGGAUGUAUGUUUUGACCCAGUAUUACAUCUGGUUUCACUAAGGAACAUAGCAGUUAAGUAAUUAGCCUAAAGUCACUUAGUCAAUGGCUCACCCUGCCUGAAAAUGCUCUACUCUUCUGGCUCCUUGUCUUUUUGUCUAGGUCACAUUGGCUCCCAAAUUUAACUAAACCUUUAUUGAGACUUUGACAGACCCUUUCAUUCCGUAUAAUAAAUCACUUUUAUUUGGCAAGAUGUCUCUUCACAAGUCCUGCAUGAAAUUUCUACAAAAAAUAUUUCUAUAGUGCUAUACAAAAUCAUAAGAAAAGCCCCAGCAUCUGUUUACAGUCUGUUGGUUUGGAGCCGUCCGCCACGGGAACCGAGACAAGCGUUGCAGGAAGUGCGUCUACUCUGAUGAGACCCUGCUCCACGUCCUGUGCAGCUGCAAGCCCCUCUCCAGAGCCUGGCAGCUGCGCCACAACACCAUCCAGAACCGCAUGGUGAAAGUCAUCACACCGGGCCUGGUGGGGGUGGCCAUGAACUGUACCAUCCCGGGUACUGACAGCCAGCUGCGACCUGACAUCGUCAUCACUGACGAGGCCCAGAAAAAGAUCAUCCUCGUCAACGUCACGGUCUCCUUUGAGAACAGGACCCCGGCCUUUCGCAAACCCGAGCUCAGAAGCUGGAAAAGUAUGCUCCCCUGGCCGACACCCUGAGAGUGAAGGGCUACGAGGUCCAGAUGGACACCCUGAUUGUCGGAGCCCUGGGCACCUUGCAUAACUUGCAACGAGCAUGUGUUGUGGACCUGCGGAAUUGGUCGACGUUACGCACGGCUCAUGCGGCGCCUCAUGGUCUCAGACACCAUCCAAUGGUCCAGAGACAUCUACACCGAACACAUCACUGGCCACCAACAGUACCAGGAGGCGUGAGCCAGAGCGACAUCGUGCAUCAACUACGAGAAAGGGACCGUAUGGACCAUAUGAACUGGAACCAUAAACUCACUGAACAUUAAAUCUCACCAAACGAGGGUCAAUCCAUCCUCAUCAUAGUAUCCACUCAUUAUACUCCACACCUGAACAUAGUCUUUAUAUGAACAACAGACCCUCAUAUCUCAAUGUCUGUACUUUGGCCCAUUAACCUUUUACCCCCAGUCAAGGAUAUUGCAGAUCAUGUAUUCCUUACGCCAUCCGAUCUUAAACUGAAUUUCGCACCCCUUGAUAAUCUGUACGUUAUUCCCUUCUACGCUUAAAC